GACAGUUGAGUGGGGCUCAUCACAUGCUGGAGGAAGAGACAUCUUUAUCCCAACGCUGGCUUUCCGUCACCAAGGCAACAGGGUAGCACCUUUAUCAUAUGGGAAACGUAAUAGAAAUGCAUUCCGAGCUGUGAUCCCUGGAACGCACGUGGUUGGGACUGAGGAAGGCCUACUUGACCAACACCAGCUCAAGUAGUAAAAUAGUCAUCUCCCAACCCGAAGGUGGAGUGGUGGGCGGUUCCGUCCAGCAGCGCACCUGUCACGCAUCACAAUAGGGGUUGCAUAUAAGGACUGCCCGAGUUAUCAAGUUUUCGUUCUCUGAUUAUUCCUCAUCUUGCUCAUGAUCAAGUGUUGCUCAAGUGUUGAAUUAGCUUGACAUUCUUUCUUGUUUACGCCACGAAUUUUCUCACCUCUGUAUUUUUGUUAUUUAAGCAUAGCCUAGGUUUUGAUAUCUUACGCGUUUUGGAUUUCUUGUCGUCUUUUCACGACAACCUAUUUACAUUUAUCCUUGCCUUUUGCAACCAUUUUUG